UGCAUAAUUGCAUACAUUUCAUACAUGCAUAAUUGCAUACAUACAUAUUUGCUUCUUUUGCACAUUCCUAAUUGCUUCCUUGCUUCUUUGUCUGAUACUUUGUUUACUUGCUUAUUUCUUCUGUCUUCAUUCGUUCAUUGCUUGCUUCCUUGCUUCCUUGCUUCUUUGUCUGAUACUUUGUUUACUUGCUUAUUUCUUCUGUCUUCAUUCAUUCAUUGCUUGCUUCCUUGCUUCCUUGCUUCCUUGCUUCCUUGCUUCCUUGCUUCUUUGUCUGAUACUUUGUUUACUUGCUUAUUUCUUCUGUCUUCAUUCAUUCAUUGCUUGCUUCCUUGCUUCCUUGUUUCCUUGCUUCUUUGUCUGAUACUUUGUUUACUUGCUUAUUUCUUCUGCCUUCAUUCAUUCAUUGCUUGCUUCCUUGCUUCUUGUUUUCUGCCUUCCUAUAUCAGGCCAUGAGUUCAUGAUAUACUGGAACUGUUUGAGGCCAAAGGAAAAGGUUUGCCUCUUAAGUUCAUGAUAUACACAAACAAAAAUUUUGACCUUGAUGAGGCUAUCAUUAGAAGGUUGAUGGCGGAACUACCAGAUGCUCUUAAUCUAGCAAAGAUAGUAAAGGUUAUACUUGCAAAAGAAGACUUGUCCCCUGAUUUGGAUAUUGAUGGGUUUACUAGUAUGACUAAUGGAUAUUUUGGAAACGAUCUUAAGAAUCUAUGUGUUACUGAAUCCCACCUUCCAAUCAAGGAGAUAAUGGGGAAGUAAAAAAAAUAUAGAGUAGUACCACAUUCAGCUGCAGAGAAAGACAUAAUUUAGUCAGACAAACAUGAAUAUAUAUCAAGGAAGGAAGCUUUAGAACAAGAGUAGAGAAUCGUCAUCACGUUUAGUUCAUAAUCAGACACAUCUCUAUCUGGGAAUCUGCUCACUAGUUAUACACCGGCGAACGCCUCUGACAGUCUGACCUAUUGCAUGCUUUAGCUAACAAUGUGUUGGGUACAACACCUGAGAGGCAGAUUUCACCUUGGGGCAUUCUCAAUGCCACUUAGCCUUUCUCAUUCGGACAACCACCUCUCAGAUUUGAGAAAGGAUUAAAUCUCUGGAGAAAUACCUCCAAAGAGGUCAAUGAUGAGGCUUUCGAAGGGUUAUCGUAAAAAGUAUCUUGAAGGAAGAUAUAUGAGAUCUUUGCAGCAUAUAGGAACACAGAUAGGAACAACUUCAAAGUGCACAUAUGGUAUAAUUCUUCAUACAAGGACGAUGCAGGAAAGAGACUAACAAAGUUAUCCGAGUUCACUGCUCAGUCAAUUUGGCAAGAAAACAACAAUGUGUCAAAUGCUUACCUUCAAUUUCUACAAGGUUAGGGACAAGGAUGUUAUUUGAAUAACAUGUCAAACCAGAAACAAGUCUUCCUCUAGAAAUCGUGUCUCUAAGUUUGCUUUCAAUAAACUACUUUACGUUUUAAUUCGCUGGAUCAUGUGGAACUACUACGAACUCUCAUCAAAAACCAGAGUACACUUUUUCAUUGCAGUAGCAAGAGAGUAGAUUGAUGGAUGUGCUUUUCAGGAAUGAGGCAGGAUUGUGAAGUAGCAUGAACCUGAGAAUUGAAAAAGUUGUAGUGGAAGAAGGUGAAAACUAGUAUUGACAUGCUAUCGAGGCCAUCUAGGAAUAUUUUUCCACGUACAUAUUCAUUAAUUUAUGUUCAUUACCGAAAGAAACCAAGAACCAGAGUGAUUGUGGUAAGGAUGAUUCCAAAAACAAAAAAGACAGAGGACAUUAGUUUCAAUUUGAAUGUUCUCUUAUGCAGGAGCUGCUGGUUCAUAAUCUGAUAGAUACAAUCUAAACCAUCUCUCCACGAUUCCUAGACCUUGGUUUGAAGAAUCUACAUGCAGAUAAUAAUGAGUGGUUUUAAUCGGAAAAUAAUAAUAAUAACAUUAAGUAAGGACUAAGGAGGUUUUACUCAAUUGACAUUGUCUUCAAAAUCACUUGCAGGAGAUAAAGAAAUUGUGUGUGAAGAG